GAUCAAGAUUCUGUUGUUCCUUUGCUUGGUUCGCAGUCACUCAUCCGUGAACUGGCUCAAAAUCUACAUUUCCAGAUAGCAGUCCCAUAUGGUGCUUGGUUUCACAAAGGGCAGGUAGGAGGUUGGGCUACCGAAUAUGGAAAUUUGUUGACUUUUGCCACCGUAAGGGGUGCUGCUCAUAUGGUACCAAAGGCACAACCAUAAGAGUUUUGCAUCUGUUCAGUUCAUUUGUACAUGGCCGGAGAUUGCCAAAUAAUACACGUCCCUCCAUCGACGAUUGAGAAAAACUCACACAUUGUGGUUUUGAAUUAUUCUAUGCUUUCUUGAGUUUCCUCCGCCAAAAUGGCAAUAAAAACAAUCGUCAAUUCUUUCAAGAUAGAAUAAGAAGGAAAAGAAAUGAAAAGCAAAGAUUUUGAUUGAACUAGUGCAAAGGGGAGAAAUUAGUGAAGGGUUUUUAACAUCCUAUUGGCAGCACUGAUUUUUUGGGUGAAACUAAAUCACUCAACAUCAUAUUGAAUGUAAUUUGUUUAACAAUCCAAUUUAGUACAGAUUUAGUACUUAUCCUAAUAAAGGAUAUCAAUAGAUAUUUCACUUAUCACUA